ACAAGCGGUGGAGCAUGUGGUUUAAUUCGACGCAACGCGCAGAACCUUACCUGGGCUUGAAAUCUGUGGAAUCUGUAUGAAAGUAUGGGGUGCCCUUCGGGGAGCCGCAAGACAGGUGCUGCAUGGCUGUCGUCAGCUCGUGCCGUGAGAUGUUGGGUUAAGUCCCGCAACGAGCGCAACCCUUGCCUUUAGUUGCCAGCAGUUCGGCUGGGCACUCUAAAGGGACUGCCGGUGUUAAACCGGAGGAAGGUGGGGAUGACGUCAAGUCCUCAUGGCCUUUAUGACCAGGGCUACACACGUACUACAAUGGCCGAUACAAAGGGCAGCGACACUGCGAGGUGAAGCCAAUCCCGUAAAAUCGGUCUCAGUCCGGAUUGGAGUCUGCAACUCGACUCCAUGAAGUUGGAAUCGCUAGUAAUCGUGGAUCAGCAUGCCACGGUGAAUACGUUCCCGGGCCUU
rnacentral:rRNA from 1 species